rnacentral:rRNA from 1 species
UGCCAGCCGCCGCGGUAAUACGGAGGGGGUUAGCGUUGUUCGGAAUUACUGGGCGUAAAGCGCACGUAGGCGGAUUAGUAAGUUAGGGGUGAAAUCCCGGGGCUCAACCCCGGAACUGCCUCUAAUACUGCUAGUCUUGAGUUCGAGAGAGGUGAGUGGAAUUCCGAGUGUAGAGGUGAAAUUCGUAGAUAUUCGGAGGAACACCAGUGGCGAAGGCGGCUCUCUGGUCCGGACCUGACGCUGAGGCGCGAAAGCGUGGGGAGCAAACAGGAUUAGAUA